rnacentral:tRNA from 1 species
GGAGCUGUAGCUCAGCGGGGAGAGCGCUUGCAUGGCAUGCAAGAGGUCGCGGGUUCGAUCCCCGUUAGCUCCACCA